ACCAAGAUAUUGGCUGCACAAUUUUGAUGCUUUCUAAUACAUUACCAUUAAUUUUUUUAAAUCUCGUACCACGAGAUUUAAAUCUCGUGCCACAAGAUUUAAAAAAUUUAAUGGUAAUGUAUUAGAAAGCAUCAAAAUUGUGCAGCCGAUAUCUUGGU
rnacentral:miRNA from 1 species